CCUACGGGAGGCAGCAGUGGGGAAUAUUGCACAAUGGGGGAAACCCUGAUGCAGCAACGCCGCGUGAGUGAAGAAGGAUUUCGGUAUGUAAAGCCCUAUUAGCAGGGAAGAAGAUGACGGUACCUGAGUAAGAAGCCCCGGCUAACUACGUGCCAGCAGCCGCGGUAAUACGUAGGGGGCAAGCGUUAUCCGGAUUUACUGGGUGUAAAGGGAGCGUAGACGGUGUGACAAGUCUGACGUGAAAUCCUGGGGCUAAAACACGGAACUGCUUUGGAAACUGAUUGACUGGAGUGGUGGAGAGGUAAGCGGAAGUCUUGGUGUAGCGGUGAAAUGCGUAGAUAUCAAGAAGAACACCAAUGGCGAAGGCGGCUUGCUGGACCGUAACUGACGUUGAGGCUCGAAAGCGUGGGGAGCAAACAGGAUUAGAUACCCUGGUAGUC
rnacentral:rRNA from 1 species